rnacentral:lncRNA from 1 species
GGCAAGGUUCCUAAAAGCUGAUCAAGGGGUUUAAACGGCUCCCCAGGAGAAAACAGUAUCUCUAAAUCAGAAAGGCCCUUAAGAUCAGAUGCAAACGGAGCAUAAUGAUAUGGAAAGUACCUGAAAUAAACAUCAUAGGCAUCAAAAUCUACAGCAUAACAUUUCAGAAAAUUAUAAAUUUACAAGAAAAUUAGAACUUUUUAUCAUUAAACAGUCAAAAACUCAAAUUUUUUAUAUUAACGUAUAAAGCCAGCGAGCUAGCAGAUUCAAGUUUGAAUUUCCAAGAGAUGAUGAAAUCAGCUUUCCCAUCCCCAAGUGAAGUGCCCAGAAUCAAAGCAUCAAAAAACAUGAAUUCCAUGACCUUGUGCAAAUGACACCAAUCUUUCAAUUCAAAAUUUGAAUUGGCAACAGUGAUAUUGCCAUUAGCUUUCCCAAUCUGAUCCCUUCACAAAGAAAAAAGGAUUUGAUAUUUUAUACUUUUUAC